AUUGAACGCUGGCGGCAGGCCUAACACAUGCAAGUCGAGCGAGCGGCGGACGGGUGAGCAACGUAUGGGGACUGCCCGAUAGAGGGGGAUAAAAACUGGAAGCGGUAGCUAAUACCGCACAUUAUCGGAUCACCCAUAUGGGAUUUGCUAGUAGGUGAGGUAAUGGCUCACCUAGGCGACGAUCCCUAGCUGGUCUGAGAGGAUGAUCAGCCACACUGGGACUUAGACACGGCCCAGACGCCUACGGAGGCAGCAGUGGGGAAUAUGGCACUAUGGGCGAAAGCCUGAUGCAGCCAGGCCGCGUGUAUGAAGAAGGCCCUAGGGUUGUAAAGUACUUUCAGUCGGGAGGCGUUACCGACAGAAGAAGCACCGGCUAACUCCGUGCCAGCAGCCGCGGUAAUAC
rnacentral:rRNA from 1 species